UAACCAUCAGUUUACACAUACUUCUCUCCUGUGAGACUGUGAAUUCUUCAAAAGCAGGUACUGUGUUUAAUGAAGUGUGCCCAGGACUUUGCUCAGUGACUGGAUGACACAGUAGGAGUAACAAGAAAGUUCACAUGGGUGAACCGUGGUAGGUGGACAUCGUCUCUCUCACCUCUUCCCAAAUCAAGGAUGAAGUACAUCUUCAUAAAUCCUCAUGUGAAUUAUUUUGCUACCUCUAGAAGCAUUUUCUAAAACAAGGUGCAGCAAUCAGUUGAGUGAAUUUGUCACCAGAGCUUAUGUUUUCUGAAAGAACCCUAUCCUCAGGCAGUUGUUCCUAAGAGCCUUUUCCUUUCCCUUGAAGAUUCCACAAAUAUGUCAGCGCUGGAAAUGAUCCUUUGGCUUUGAACUAUGUGAAGACUGCAGAAGGACUGGUUGGUAAGCACCCACAUCCUGGGGUGAGAAUCACAUCCAGUUUAUACCUCCCUGUGCACACUUGUAUAAAACAACUAUAAGACACACGAGAGAUCUGGAAGCCAGUUCCUCAUAAGUAAGAAUUGGUCAGGCUGCAUUUGUAUCCUGGGUCCACAAGACAUCGUUUCCUUAAAACCAAUCCCCCUGAUUUUGCUAAGUGUCUGCAAGCCUAAUAUUUCAUGGAUGUUUGACAAGGACCCCGUCUUUAGCUGAACUAAGGAGAAAGUCCUGCAACACACACAUGGAGCUCAGC
rnacentral:lncRNA from 10 species